GAGUUUUUGCAUUUCAGGGAGACAUUUAGGACAACACAUUCAGGGACGGCAUUGUGGGACAAGGGACAUUGUGGGACAAGGGCGUCGUCUUUCUGGUGCAUCGGGUCGUGUCGUCUUUGAGGCUAAUCAGGUACGUUUGCAGGUGAAUCCAGUGGAGGUCGUCAAGUGGAUAAGGGUUAUCAAAGGUGAGUAUCACAAAUAGUUGGUAAGUCGGCAGUCAGCGUCGUUAAUAGGAAAUUUUUGGAUCAAAAACAUGGAAUGCAGUAUUAAGAAGAAGACG